GGCGAGGUAGCUCAGGUGGUUAGAGCGCAUGAUUCAUAAUCAUGAGGUCGCGGGUUCAAGUCCCGCCCUCGCUA
rnacentral:tRNA from 1 species